rnacentral:lncRNA from 1 species
AUAGAACUCAAAGAAUGGUUCUUUGAGAGACAAGAAAGUAAUCAACAAAUAUAACAACCUAGUUCCUAUACCAUAAGCUCCAAGGUAGUCGAGAAGGAUUUAUAAACCGUCUCAGUUGAAUGGUUUGAACUUUAUGACUAUGUCAUAGAGUUGCACCUCUUAAUUCGAAAGAAAUAAGAAUGAAAAUCCUUAUGACUACAUUGAGUGCAUAUACGAUAUAUAUACUCAUGGGAAUGGUAAAGUACCAUUUGACCCGAAAUAAUGAAACCUUCAUAAGCUAAUUGGUAGCUUAAGGUGACUACAAUCAAAUAGAAUGGUUGACUUUGAAGGAACCAUUUUUGACGUAGUCUUAGUUUCAAUUAAUUCGAAGAUUGCUAGCUACAA